UAAGGAAUAUUGGUCAAUGGACGCAAGUCUGAACCAGCCAUGCCGCGUGAAGGAUGAAGGUCCUCUGGAUUGUAAACUUCUUUUAUCUGGGACGAAAACGGGAUUUUUAUCUCAAUUGACGGUACCAGAGGAAUAAGCACCGGCUAACUCCGUGCCAGCAGCCGCGGUAAUACGGAGGGUGCGAGCGUUAUCCGGAUUUACUGGGUUUAAAGGGUGCGUAGGUGGGCUUAUAAGUCAGUGGUGAAAUCUCCGAGCUUAACUUGGAAACUGCCGUUGAUACUAUAGGUCUUGAAUUAUCUGGAGGCAAGCGGAAUAUGUCAUGUAGCGGUGAAAUGCUUAGAUAUGACAUAGAACACCAAUUGCGAAGGCAGCUUACUACAUAUAAAUUGACGCUGAGGCACGAAAGCGUGGGGAUCAAAC
rnacentral:rRNA from 1 species